UGGGUACUUCGGCGGAGACCUUGCUUAAAUAAUCUAUUGUGUGCGAUCCUUGGCUAGGCGUUUGCACUCUACUAUAUAAUAAUGCAAUAGACCAAGGCGAAAACUAUUUUCGUGUUCUCAUUCAAUUAUCUGGAAGUUAUUCACAUGGAAACGUAUACCUUGAUGUUGGUAGUUAUAAAGGAUUUUUGUUUCGCAAAAACUGAUUUGGUACUGACAAAUAGGGAUUUGAAUACCAUAAUCGUCGCAUCUCUCAAUCAAUACACCGGGUGUCUUACAAAUUAGAUCACGGACAGUUCUACAAUGUAUAUGCCGACCAGCAUUUUAAAUAAGUUAAAGAUUCUCAGGCGUCGAAGUAAGAAAACAUAACCGUUACUUCGUGCAAAGUUAUGCCGCUAACGAUUGUGACUUGUAAAUUUGUAUCUUCACGACCUAGACCGACAUGCGACAGCAGCUGUAGUCAUCGCUUUCAAUUCAUAUAAGAACGUCAACUCUAUUUCAAGUGCAAAUUUAAUAUGAAACAAGUAACAACACUAGUGGUACCCCGGUAAUCGAAAUUCGAUUAUAAUUAAUUGAAAUUACAAGUUUGUACACUAUUAUGAUUCUAUUGUCAAAGAUUAAUAACUAUUAUACUUCUAUAAUCACAGGUUUUACCAAGACUACACUUUAGACAAUUAUUAAUAAAGACAAACAAUAUUUAUAGCAUUCUUAAUUUGACCACAGACUGUGAGCAUUAAGAAAAGUUUGACAAUAAGCAAAUAGUAUGCAUGCGUGUAUGUAUCAAAUACAUGAUGUGUGUAAUUCUUUUUUAUUUAUUUAUUUUUUGUAUCUUUUAUGCAUAAUUUAAAAAAAAUAUUAGCAUUCUGCACUCCUUCUCUAUUUUCUCUAUAAGCGAGGAAAAAUUUCAUACUCCUCCGUCCGCGCAAUUUUCGUAAAAAGAGAUACAAAGUUUUUGCUUCACGUAUUAAUAUAUAGAUAAGUUAUUAAUGUUAUUAUACACAUUUACUAAUAACAUGUAGUCAUACGUAAGCGUUACUUCAUCUGUAUUAUGUAUUUCCGUGGUACGCUCAUUUGAUGUUUCGUAUUCAGUUUAACAUAAUGUUUUGUAAUUUAGUUUCUAAUUAAAACUGCUAGAUAUUUAAAGUUAUUUUUAAGUAAUGCUAUUUUUCUUGACUAUGCGAAAUUUAGUUUUAGUGUGUUUUCGAUUCAGUGGAUGUGAGUUAAUUAACGUCAAACAAAGGCGAAUGAGUACUAUAAAAGGCGACUUCCACAAUUAAAUUGAGUUAACAUUUUGGAAUAUUCAUUUGAUGACGUUAGCGUUCAUUAUGUUAUUCUCGGACCGGCCCAAAAUGAUGUGGCUAACUCGUAACGACCUAUUAUUAAAGUUUCUUCAAAAAAAGUAGUGGCCAUGAGAAAACUCAACUUUUUAUUGUAACUGACGUUUCACUUAAUUCAGUUGUUUUUGUACUAAGAUUUUAUUACCAUGAAUAAUAUGAUUUCUGAAGGCAGCGUUGCGUUGGUAAGAAACGACAGUGCUUAUUAUGUUAGGUUAAUAGCCGACGAAUAGAAACAAUAAAUGUAUGCACGUCUUAUGUAGUGCAAGCGGUCUAUAAUAUAAUUAAUUGCAGGAAUGAAAAAUCAUUUAUUUUAAUUAAGUUUGGUCAUAUUAUAAAUUAUGUGAAUAUUAAUGUUAAUAUUA